AAUAUUGCACAAUGGGGGAAACCCUGAUGCAGCGACGCCGCGUGAGUGAAGAAGUNUUNNGGUAUNUNAAGCUCUAUCAGCAGNNNNNAAAAUGACGGUCCCUGACUAAGAAGCCCCGGCUAACUACGUGUCAGCAGCCGCGGUAAUACGUAGGGGGCAAGCGUUAUCCGGAUUUACUGGGUGUAAAGGGAGCGUAGGUGGCGAGUCACGUCAGAUGUGAAAGCCCGGGGCUCAACCCCGGGAUUGCAUUUGAAACUGGUUUGCUAGAGUGCAGGAGAGGUAAGUGGAAUUCCUAGUGUAGCGGUGAAAUGCGUAGAUAUUAGGAGGAACACCAGUGGCGAAGGCGGCUUACUGGACUGUAACUGACACUGAGGCUCGAAAGCGUGGGGAGCAAACAG
rnacentral:rRNA from 1 species